rnacentral:rRNA from 1 species
GGGGAAUUUUCCGCAAUGGGCGAAAGCCUGACGGAGCAAGACCGCGGGGGGGAGGAAGGUUCUUGCGAUUGUCAACCCCUUCUCUCAGGGNAAGAAGAAAGUGACGGUACCUGAGGAAGAAGCAUCGGCUAACUCCGUGCCAGCAGCCGCGGUAAUACGGGGGAUGCAAGCGUUAUCCGGAAUGAUUGGGCGUAAAGAGUCCGUAGGUGGCUCAUCAAGUCUGCUGUUAAAGAGCGAGGCUUAACUUCGUAAAAGCAGUGGAAACUGAAGAGCUAGAGUAUAGUAGGGGCAGAGGGAAUUCCUGGUGUAGCGGUGAAAUGCGUAGAGAUCAGGAAGAACACCGGUGGCGAAAGCGCUCUGCUGGGCUAAAACUGACACUGAGGGACGAAAGCUAGGGGAGCGAAUGGGAUUAGAUACCCCAGUAGUC